GUUCACAGAGGCGGGCAAGGGGGGUCCCCAUAACAGCAAAACAGUGAAUUGAUUUGGUGAAAAACAGAUAACAAGGAAUUGAAAAGGGAUAAUAACAGAUAACAGUAAUGAAAUAUGAAAAUAAAUCUGUCAAAGACCAAUCCAGUAGAUGACUCGUAGAUCUUAGUAUAUAACUUGUGGUAUGGACCUAGAAAAUUUGUGCAAACAAGACGUUUCGGCCGUUGAGGCAGUUCUGCCUUGGUUGAUUUUUUUUCCGUAACUUGGAUGUUGAAUUUUUCUGAACGAAAUUACUAGUUUCUGUUUUUGAUAUAGGGAUAUUUUUAAUCUAGGGCAUUUGAGGGAUCAAUUUUUAAUGAUUUAGAUUUUUUUAUUUAAUUUUUGAAAAUAGUGCAGCCAGUGACACUUUAUUAUCAAUUUGAUUUUUAGAUUAUUUUUUUUCUGAAAAGCAAUAUAUAUACUUUACAAGUAAUAAAAAAAACAUUGAUGCACAAUAUAUUUUUUUUAUUUAAUGACCUCAUGAUAAAACUUACUUAUAAAAUACAAAAAUACCCAGAUCAGUGGAGACAGGACAUGUAACUGAAACACGCAU
rnacentral:lncRNA from 1 species